rnacentral:rRNA from 1 species
UACGUAGGGUGCAAGCGUUAAUCGGAAUUACUGGGCGUAAAGCGUGCGCAGGCGGUUGUGCCAGACAGAUGUGAAAUCCCCGGGCUUAACCUGGGAACUGCAUUUGUGACUGCACAGCUAGAGUGCGGCAGAGGGGGAUGGAAUUCCGCGUGUAGCAGUGAAAUGCGUAGAUAUGCGGAGGAACACCGAUGGCGAAGGCAAUCCCCUGGGCCUGCACUGACGCUCAUGCACGAAAGCGUGGGGAGCAAACAGG